GAUGAACGCUGGCGGCGUGCCUAAUACAUGCAAGUCGAGCGAAUGGAUUAAGAGCUUGCUCUUAUGAAGUUAGCGGCGGACGGGUGAGUAACACGUGGGUAACCUGCCCAUAAGACUGGGAUAACUCCGGGAAACCGGGGCUAAUACCGGAUAACAUUUUGAACCGCAUGGUUCGAAAUUGAAAGGCGGCUUCGGCUGUCACUUAUGGAUGGACCCGCGUCGCAUUAGCUAGUUGGUGUGGUAACGGCUCACCAAGGCAACGAUGCGUAGCCGACCUGAGAGGGGGAUCGGCCACACUGGGACUGAGCCACGGCCCAGACUCCUACGGGAGGCAGCAGUAGGGAAUCUUCCGCAAUGGACGAAAGUCUGACGGAGCAACGCCGCGUGAGUGAUGAAGGCUUUCGGGUCGUAAAACUCUGUUGUUAGGGAAGAACAAGUGCUAGUUGAAUAAGCUGGCACCUUGACGGUACCUAACCGGAAAGCCACGGCUAACUACGUGCCAGCAGCCGCAGUAA
rnacentral:rRNA from 1 species